UCUUCAGAAACAAACCAGCAGAAGGGAAUGUGGGUAAGCUAAGGCGAGAAUGGGAGAGAGGGAGAAGGCGAGAAUGGAAGCUUUUGUGUGACUGGCAUAAAGAAGAAUAGAAGGGAGAUGAGAUGGUCAGACGUCGUGACCUACAAUGAGAACAACUAAACGGGACAAAACGAAGGAGCGUGACUGCGAAGCUUUGUGCGGGGGACCUAGGACACAUCAUAGCACUUCCUCAAAUUCGUGUUUCAUUAAACAGCACUUUGAAAGACUUGAAAUUUUGGAUUUCUUCUAUGUGCUUGAGGAUUGAGGAAGUUACCUGUACAAUGAACAUGGACUUUGGCGGUAUCUUCAUGUACUUCCCCAAGUUUAGAUCACUAAGCAGUGUGAGUGCGUGGCCAACGCUUAUGCUGCCAUAAGUCUUGAAUGUCACAUUUGCGAGAGGCUUUCCAGAUAUCCAUUACCGACAACUUUAUAAAUUAGUACUUGAAGAGGGAGACUUGAACAAGGUUUCCUGGCCACCACAUAUAUGGAGAUUCAACCAGGUAUUUUCUGAAAAUACCAGCCCAACCAUAGCCCAGCAACUGUAAAAGUUUCAAAGACAAAUAGAAAUUAAUCCUAAAUAUAGCAAUGGAAGGCUGCCAUUAGAUUGAUCUUUCUAUGAUAGAAGGCCUUGACUACAGUGAAAAGAUGGACAGAAUAAACGCCAUGUGCUCCUGUGCCUGCAAAGACGGUUAUAAGACAAUGUUCUUUCAUUGUAAAUGGUCC